rnacentral:rRNA from 1 species
AUUGAACGCUGGCGGCAUGCCUUACACAUGCAAGUCGAACGAUGCCUUCGGGCAUAGUGGCGCACGGGUGCGUAACGCGUGGGAAUCUGCCCUUCGGUUGGGAAUAACUCAGGGAAACUUGAGCUAAUACCUUAUAAUGUCUUCGGACCAAAGAUUUAUCGCCGAGGGAUGAGCCCGCGUAGGAUUAGCUAGUUGGUGGGGUAAGGGCCUACCAAGGCGACGAUCCUUAGCUGGUCUGAGAGGAUGAUCAGCCACACUGGGACUGAGACACGGCCCAGACUGCUACGGGAGGCAGCAGUGGGGAAUAUUGGACAAUGGGCGAAAGCCUGAUCCAGCAAUGCCGCGUGAGUGAUGAAGGCCUUAGGGUUGUAAAGCUCUUUUACCAGUGAUGAUAAUGACAGUACCUGGAGAAUAAGCUCCGGCUAACUCCGUGCCAGCCGCCGCGGUAA